rnacentral:rRNA from 1 species
GACGAACGCUGGCGGCGUGCUUAACACAUGCAAGUCGAACGGAAAGGCCCUGCUUUCGUGGUGCUCGAGAGUCGCACGGGGGUGUGACACGUGGGUGUUCUGCCCUCCACUUCGGGGUAUGACUUGAGAACUGUGUCUAAUACAGCGUAGGGGCCCUUUUUAUUCUUGUGGGUGGAAGGAUUUUUCGGUUUAGGAUGAGACCACUGCCUAUUAGCUUGUUGGUGGGGUAAUGGCCUACCAAGGCGGCGACGGGGAGCCGGCCUGGGGGGGUGGACGGCCACAUUGGGGCCGGGGAUAGGGCCAGACUCCUAAGGGGGGCAGGAGGUGGGAAUAUUGCCCAAUUGGGGCAAGGCCUAAGGAAGGAAGCCGCGUGGGGGAUGACGGGCUUUGGGUUGUAAACUCCUUUCGCCAUGGACGAAGCCUUUUGUGACGGUAACUAGAUAAGAAGCACCGGCUAACUACGUG